AGAGUUUGAUCAUGGCUCAGGACGAACGCUGGCGGCGUGCUUAACACAUGCAAGUCGAACGAUGAAGCCCUUCGGGGUAGAUUAGUGGCGAACGGGUGAGUAACACGUGGGCAACCUGCCCUCCACUCUGGGAUAACUCCGGGAAACCGGGGCUAAUACUGGAUAUGACCUCCUGCCGCAUGGUGGGUGGUGGAAAGUUUUUCGGUGGAGGAUGGGCCCGCGGCCUAUCAGCUUGUUGGUGGGGUGAUGGCCUACCAAGGCGGUGACGGGUAGCCGGCCUGAGAGGGCGACCGGCCACACUGGGACUGAGACACGGCCCAGACUCCUGCGGGAGGCAGCAGUGGGGAAUAUUGCACAAUGGGCGAAAGCCUGAUGCAGCGACGCCGCGUGAGGGAUGACGGCCUUCGGGUUGUAAACCUCUUUCAGCAGGGACCAAGCGUGAGUGAGUGUACCUGCAGAAGAAGCACCGGCUAACUACGUGCCAGCCGCCGCGGUAAUAC
rnacentral:rRNA from 1 species